ACACACUUAAGCAAUACAAAAGAACAUAAAAAGAGACAUUUGCUUCCCUAAACUUUAGUGCGGAUUUCACCAGUGACCAUGGUAGCCAGAUACUUCCUUCUGCUGUUUCUCCUCAGUGGAGCUGACAGUUCUCGGAUUAUUGGAGGCCGAGAUGCUGCCCCCCACUCACUCCCCUACAUGGCCUCAGUGCAACUUCAAGGUCGCCAUUUGUGUGGAGGAGCACUAGUGAGAGAGGACUUUGUACUCACAGCAGCACAUUGUGAGACACAAUACCCACAGUCGUGCUGGGAGUUGAUUCCCUGACAGGUACUGAGCCAACGAAGCAGCAGUUCCUUGUGGUCAAAUCUUUAAAG